CUGGCUUAAAGAGAACCUUAGGUAUUAGGUCAGCCUGGGUGCUCCAGCAGCAGGGGGCUGGGGAUAGCCAGUAUUUCAAAAUGCUGCAGUCUGGAGAUGCUAAGCCAGAGCAUGGCCAAGUGGGGCCAGAUGUCCUGUAUGGCCUGGCAGUCUCAAUCUGUAAGGCCUUCUUUCCCUAGACACCUGUCAUGCCUCCUUCUGCCUCAGGCUACACUAGGCUCCAUUCCGAUACAUGGCUAUGUGGGGACCACAUUGCUAGGUCAAAGGUUACUCUGGAGUUACUAGACCACAGCUCAGGCAUGGUGAGGUAGCUCAUCUUGUCAAGACCCCAGGCUGGCCAGUGUCUGGAGGAGCUCUGGGUCCCACAGAAGUGUUCUUCUGGUGUGAAGCACUGCUGGCAAACAUCAGGAAGACUGUUGCCCUAAGAUGGAGGACAGCAUCAAAAUUACCUACAAAGGAUGUGGUAAUGCACUCUGCCUGGCUCCGGAUGAGACGGAUUCAUGAGAAAAAAAAAACAAAAAACAAAAAACAAAAACAAAACAGCUGACUAGUAAUUACUCAGUAGCAUUCAAGAAUACUAUUUACCAAAUUUCAAGGGAACAUCUAGAAAGAUUUGGGCUCAAGGAAUUAUUCAUUUGCAGCUGAAAUGUAUGAGGAAGAAAGGAGCAGAUGCUGUGGAAUAAACUCCCAGCAGGGCAGGGCCUGGAUGUUCAAGAACCAUGCGGGGUGGGCAGCAGGUCCCUUAAAACCUAGUACCAGGGCUUCCAACACCACAAACCUGUGUUUGAUUGCUGUGGAGAUUGGAGAUGAUGAAAGACCCCGGCUUCUGUAUUGCAUGUCAAGGAUCUACUUUAGGUUGAGGGAGAAAAUAAAACAAAGUCUCCUUGGUAAAGACCACAUCUGUGCAGCAAAUUUGGGGUUUGCAUUUAUUGUUCAGCAGGGGAGAGCCAUUUAAAUUCUCUAAAACAAACAGACUGGCACCACACCUCCUGGGAGACACAGGCAGUGCUCUUUUGACAACUCAUUUGCUAGAUCCUAAUUAUACUGUAGGCUUGGGCUGUCGUGAUGGUUGUUUGUUUAUUUAAUAGCAAAGUCAGGGGGAGGGUAGAGUGCACCAUUACCCAUCACCCCCCUCUCUGGAGGUUAGAAACCCAGGGCCCUCCAGAGGUUGUGUGCAGCAUCUGGGGGACUGUUAAGACUGCCUUUCAAAAUAAGGAGCCUCUGUUACUGCCCCCUGCUUGCUAUUUUCUGGCUCGACAGCUUACCUAAGAACCUGUUCCUACAUUUAUUCAGCCCAAAGGCAAAUUCUAUUGGGCAGCCUCUCCCACAGAUUUUAUUUCUCUCAGGACCUGUGCUUAGCCAAUUACCUCUUCCUGGUCAUCCCUGUGUGGAACCGGUGCCAGGAGGCAGAGUUUACUUAAUGCUACACCCCAGAAGGCAGCACCCUGGUGUGUGCCUUGGUGGAUCCAUCAAUUAAUUCCCCUUCCUCUCAUGUCUCAGUAUCCACAGAACACCCUCCAUGGCUGGCAGUAGGCCUAUGGUGUUUAGAGGUGCUGAGCCCUGGAGUCUUGACAAGCUUGCUUGAGCUUCGCCUGAAAAAUGGGCCUGGUCUUGCUGCAGUGGGAUAGCAGUUUAAUUGGCUCUGACUUUGGCAUUCAGCUGGUCGUUUCCCCUGGAGGGUAGUGUCACAGGAAACAGCAAAAAUUAAUCAAGUUCCCCCGAUCAUUUGUAAUGGGGAAGGGAAGGGAGCAUUCAGACAUUUAAUUACAAUAUUUUGUAAUUGUUAAGCCACCAGCAACACACAGGAUCCUCUUGCUGAACAGACACAUGUGUGUUUUGUGAGGAGGCUGACACACUCAGCAAAAAGUCAGUGACUGUAGCCACCUCUUCUCCUUUAUCUUCUAACCAAUUCUAACAGAUGACGUGACUACAUUGCUUUAAUUACAUUGUAUACAUUUCAUUAAAAAAAUUCUGGGAUAAAGGUGAGCCCAUGUCAGCUGGUAAUAAAAAGGUCACUUCUUAUUCUUGGAUGACGGAUGAAAUGAGUUCAGCUCUGUGGACAGCAAGGAGUUGAAGAUGACAAACAACUGAAUUCAAUUAGCAGGCCUUGUACAAACUGAUUUGAAAACCAUUGGGACAAGGAAGCCAGGUCACCUACCUACUGCAAAGCUCAGGACAGCACGGAGCAUGUGCCACAGUGCUGUGGAGGAGCAAUGUGCAAGCGUGCCUGAUGCUGGUGCUGCUGCAUUGGCCACGUCUGGCAAGCAGAUCCUCUGAGAAAGUCAGUUGCUAGUUUUCAGUCCUUCGACUUCCAUAAGCACUUAAUUCAUCAGGAAGGCAUGAGUGGAGAAAACACGGCCAAGUGUUGAAAGAUGACCUGCUAACUGCAUUGCUUUCAAGUGCAGGGAAAUUCUUUAUGUUCAGUUCCAAAUGUUGGGGGUGAAGUGUGUACGUGGCUCCUCCAUCUGGAGAGUGAGUCCCCGUAAGAAAGACACUUGUGGGGCUGAUCUGUGGAACAGGGAUGGUUUCUUUGGAGAGGAAUAUUCAGUUGUUUGGCCCAAUGAGGGCCUUUGUUGAGGUGUGCAGGCGAAGCUCCUCCACCCUCAGCUGUGACUUUCACAGCCCUCGAAAUGCAUCCAUGGUGAGGUUCACACAUUUAAUUGCUUUGACAUUUGGAGACAACUGACCUGAGCAGCAAUCACCUGAGCCAAGCUCAUACCAGCUUUCCCUUUGUUCAAGGAGUUGUUGGUUCUGUUUCCAGGAGCAAGCAGUCCAAGGGGCUGAAACACAGCGUGCCUGGAUGUUAGGACUGUAGUGGGAUUCCUCAGCCCUGGAGGGUGUAUUUUGCUAUGACUGGCACUCUUCAGGCAUUAUCCUGCAGCAGGUACAGAGUGUUAUCAUAGAUGUGGAUCUGAGUCCCAGUCACAUGCCUUAGUUUUCAGUUUUCCAGAACAAAGAACUGGAGCAGGGACAGAGCCCACUACUAAGUGUAUGCAGAAAAAGAGUAAAUAGGGAGUAACAACAGGUCAUCGUUGCUUCCAGGUUCUGGCUAUUACAAACAAUGCUGCUAUGAACAUGGUUGAACAGAUGUCCUUGUUGUCUGAAUGUGCAUCUUUUGGGUAUAUGCCUAAGAGUGGAAUUGCUGGAUCUUGAGGUGGACUGAUUCCCAUUUUCCUGAGGAGUCACCAUACUGAUUUCCAAAGUGGCUGUACAAGUUGGCACUCCCACCAGCAGUGGAGGAGUGUUCCCCUUUCUCCACAUCCUCUCCAACAUGAACUGUCAUUGGUGUUUUUAAUUUUAGCCAUUGUGACAGGAGUAAAAUGGUAUCUCAGAGUUGUUUUGAUUUGCAUUUCCAUGAUGGCUAAGGAUGUUGAACACCUUCCUUAUGUGUCUUUCAGCCAUUUAAAAUUCCUCUAUUGAGAAUUCUCUAUUUAGUUCUGUACCCUACUUUUUACUUCUUGAGUAAAAAGUGUAUAUUUUGGAAAUCAGCCGUCUGUCAGAUGUGGGGUUGGUGAAUAUUUUUCCCAUUCUGUGGGCUGCUGUUUUGUCUUGCUGACGGUGUCGUUUCCCUUACAGAAGCUUCUCAGUUUCAGGAGGUCCCAUUUAUUGUCUAUCUCAGUGUCUGUGCUCCUGGAUGCCCCUCAACUGAAGAAUGGAUAGAGAAAAUGUGUUACAUUUACACAAUGGAGUACUACCUCAGCGGAAAAAAACAAAACAAAAAAACAAUGGAAUCUUGAAAUUCGUAGGCAAAUGGAAGGAACUAGAAGAAACCAUCCUGAGUGAGGUAACCCAGUCACAAAAAAGACAAACAUGAUGGGGCUCCAGGAUGACAAAGGGUUAUCUCUGUCCUCAAGAGGCUAGUGGUCUUAACCCAGCUUCUGGAUGAUGUGUGCAUACGACAGCAGCUUCACCGAGGGAGAGCAGAGGAGCAGUUGCAGGAGAAAGAUGCAGAUCUGGAAUGCCAGCCUCCACAAAUGCAUUUUUUAUACACAGAUGUGCAUUCCUCUGUAGUUUCAGACAUUGCAAUAUGCAUUCAAGGGCUAUCUGGGCCAUUUUUAAUGAUUUUUAUAUGCUAUGAUGAACCUCCUUCAAACCUAACCCAAAGCAUAAUAAAUACCAUCCACCUGCUGCUUUAUGCUUCAAGAACUCUUCCUAGUCACUUCUCAAGGUGGGAUGGUCACUGAUACUUUAGAGAGAGGCUGGAGCCCUAGAAAGAGACUUCUCUCUAAGUCACUGGGAAUAAGUGGCAGAGUACUUUCUUCCCCUGACCCCUGUAUGUGCUCUGUGGGAGAACAAGCUGGAACUGUGCCAGGAUCCAAGGGCUGCUCUCCCAAGCUUACUAGCUCAGUGACUCCCUCUUCUAACAAGGGCCCUCUUCUCCUGUUCUCUGGAAGCACUGAUUUAAAGGGCUAGAAGCCCUUUACUUUGGAUGGCACCAGGACAGUUUGCACUGUUACACAGGUGUACUUCUACAGGGUGGAAUCUGAAGGAGUCCUUACACACAGGUCCUUCAAGUCUUCACUCUUCAAAGGCAAUGGGACUUGAACCCAGGAGCCUGCAUUCUACCAGUGAGCUAUGUCCCCAGGCCAAAGAGUUUUCUCAUAGAUGCUCAGCAGCUCCUCUCUUCUACUAUUCCCUCCAUGGCAUGAAUCAGUGUCCUGAUGACAUGCUUCUAAAUUUAGUCAGCAACUCCAGCCACUGCCCUGAAAGACAUUAUAGAAGGAAAUUUGGAGCUAAGAAUACCUUCUGGUCACCUCUGUUCUCUUCUCCAUCUCAGC
ensembl:lncRNA